rnacentral:rRNA from 1 species
CCUACGGGAGGCAGCAGUGGGGAAUAUUGCGCAAUGGGCGAAAGCCUGACGCAGCGACGCCGCGUGAGGGAUGAAGGCCUUCGGGUCGUAAACCUCUGUCAGGAGGGAAGAACCGCCAUGGUGCUAAUCAGCCGUGGUCUGACGGUACCUCCAAAGGAAGCACCGGCUAACUCCGUGCCAGCAGCCGCGGUAAUACGGAGGGUGCGAGCGUUAAUCGGAAUCACUGGGCGUAAAGCGCACGUAGGCUGUUUGGUAAGUCAGGGGUGAAAUCCCGCGGCUCAACCGCGGAAUUGCCCUUGAUACUGCUGGACUCGAGUCCGGGAGAGGGUGGCGGAAUUCCAGGUGUAGGAGUGAAAUCCGUAGAUAUCUGGAGGAACAUCAGUGGCGAAGGCGGCCACCUGGACCGGUACUGACGCUGAGGUGCGAAAGCGUGGGGAGCA